GACAGAGGGUGCAAACGUUGUUCGGAAUUACUGGGCGUAAAGCGUGUGUAGGCGGUCCUCUAAGUCGAGUGUGAAAGCCCUGGGCUCAACCCAGGAAGUGCACUCGAAACUGGAGGGCUAGAGUAUCGGAGAGGUUGGUGGAAUUCUCGGUGUAGAGGUGAAAUUCGUAGAUAUCGAGAGGAACACCGGUGGCGAAGGCGGCCAACUGGACGAAUACUGACGCUGAGACACGAAAGCGUGGGGAGCAAACAGG
rnacentral:rRNA from 1 species